rnacentral:rRNA from 1 species
AGCGAACGCUGGCGGCAGGCCUAACACAUGCAAGUCGAACGAACUCUUCGGAGUUAGUGGCGGACGGGAGAGUAACACGUGGGAACGUGCCUUUAGGUUCGGAAUAGCUCCUGGAAACGGGUGGUAAUGCCGAAUGUGCCCUUCGGGGGAAAGAUUUAUCGCCUUUAGAGCGGCCCGCGUCUGAUUAGCUAGUUGGUGAGGUAAAGGGUCACCAAGGCGACGAUCAGUAGCUGGUCUGAGAGGAUGACCAGCCACAUUGGGACUGAGACACGGCCCAAACUCCUACGGGAGGCAGCAGUGGGGAAUCUUGCGCAAUGGGCGAAAGCCUGACGCGGCCAUGCCGCGUGAAUGAUGAAGGUCUUAGGAUUGUAAAAUUCUUUCACCGGGGACGAUAAUGACGGUACCCGGAGAAGAAGCCCCGGCUAACUUCGUGCCAGCCGCCGCCGUAACAC